GAAAUCAGCAACUCCAUUUUACUUCGACCAUAGGUUCCGGGAACAAGCUUCUCUAGUCAUGAGUCAACAACAGAGUAUCCAGAUUUGGGACUCUGAUUCGAAACAAGCGUCUCGACAUGAGACUAUUAGCAUGAUCGAUGAAUAAAGGUUUUGUGUAUUAUCAUAAGGAGGAGAAGCUAUUCGUUUACUGGGCAAGGACUCCCUCGGGGCGUGACAGUCUUGCAGUGAGAGACAUUUUAGUGUGAUUAUCACAACCAACCCAUAAUGGUUCAUUUGUAACACUCAACACUUUCUGAAAUUGGAGAUAUGUUUCAUCAACAUAUGGUACUUCUACCUCCUCCAACAGUGAUGUAUAAGUAAUAAAUAUUUGUUCAACUCUUGGAUGACAACUAGAACUUGGACCAUGCAUUUUGGGAAUAAAA